AAGUCGUAACAAGGUUUCCGUAGGUGAACCUGCGGAAGGAUCAUUAUCGAGUUUUGAAACGGGUUGUAGCUGUCCUUCGUAAGGAGGUACGUGCACGCCUUGCUCAUCCACUCUCAAACCCCUGUGCACUUUUUGUAGGCUUGGUGGGAUAGGCUGACUUCGGUCGGCUUUGAAUGCCUCGCCUAUGUAUUAAAACAAACGCUUCAGUUUAGAAUGUAACCUUGCAUAAUAAGCAAAUAAAUACAACUUUCAGCAACGGAUCUCUUGGCUCUC
rnacentral:misc_RNA from 1 species